rnacentral:rRNA from 1 species
AGACAGAGGUGGCAAGCGUUGUUCGGAAUUACUGGGCUUAAAGGGCGCGUAGGUGGUGGCAUAAGUCCGAGGUGGAAGACUAAGGCUUAACCUUAGAAUUGCCUUGGGAACUGUAUCACUUGAGUCAGCGAGGGAUGGCGGAAUUCCAGGUGUAGCGGUGAAAUGCGUAGAUAUCUGGAGGAAGGCCGGUGGCGAAGGCGGCCAUCUGGCGCUGAACUGACACUGACGGACCCGAAAGCGUGGGGAGC